UGGGGAAUUUUCCGCAAUGGGCGAAAGCCUGACGGAGCAACGCCGCGUGAGGGAUGAAGGCCUCUGGGCUGUAGACCUCUUUUAUCAAGGAAGAAGAUCUGACGGUACUUGAUGAAUAAGCCACGGCUAAUUCCGUGCCAGCAGCCGCGGUAAUACGGGAGUGGCAAGCGUUAUCCGGAAUUAUUGGGCGUAAAGCGUCCGCAGGCGGCCUUGUAAGUCUGUCGUCAAAGCGUGGAGCUUAACUCCAUUUAAGCGAUGGAAACUGCAAGGCUAGAGUGUGGUAGGGGCAGAGGGAAUUCCCGGUGUAGCGGUGAAAUGCGUAGAUAUCGGGAAGAACACCAGUGGCGAAGGCGCUCUGCUGGGCCAUAACUGACGCUCAUGGACGAAAGCCAGGGGAGCGAAAGGGAUUAGAUACCCCUGUAGUCCUGGCCGUAAACGAUGAACACUAGGCGUCGGGGGAAUCGACCCCCUCGGUGUCGUAGCCAACGCGUUAAGUGUUCCGCCUGGGGAGUACGCACGCAAGUGUGAAACUCAAAGGAAUUGACGGGGGCCCGCACAAGCGGUGGAGUAUGUGGUUUAAUUCGAUGCAACGCGAAGAACCUUACCAGGGUUUGACAUCCUGCGAAUCCCUGGAAACGAGGGAGUGCCUUCGGGAGCGCAGAGACAGGUG
rnacentral:rRNA from 1 species